rnacentral:lncRNA from 1 species
CGUGGCCUCGAAGAGGGGCGGGGCUCACGGACGGGGCUCAGGACGGGGGCGGGGCCUCAGAGAGGGGCGGGGCCUCGCGGGUCGGGGGCGGGGCCUCGCGGGCCGGGGGCGGGGCACCCUCCGUCCGGGGCGCGAGCCCAGCGGGUGCGCCCGCGCAUGCGCAGGCGGCGCGGCCGUCGCGGUCUCCGGUGCCCGCGGCGUCCGUGGCCCGGCGCCCCCGUCCCCGCCACCUGUGCCCGCGCGCCGAGGUCCGCGAGGGGGCGCCGCCGAGGUGGGGGCGGGGCGGCCGGCCGGGAGCUCCGGGGCCCGGCGCGGGCGGCGGCGGCGGCGUCAUGGCGGCCAUCCCGUCCGGCGGCUCGCUCGUGGCCACGCACGACUACUACCGGCGCCGCCUGGGCUCCGCGUCCGGUAACAGCGCGUGCGGCGGCGCCGACUGCGCGGGGGAGGCCGCCCCGCAGCGCCCCGGCGAGGGCAGGCCCCCCACGGCCGCCGCGGGCCCCUGGUGGGCCGGCUUCUUCUCCGGGAGGUCCGCGCUCGCGUCCACGGCCACCGUGCUGCAGUCGCCGGCGCGCACAACACCAAAAAGGAAGUUGAGAGAAUCCCACUCUUUACUGUCCAAGCCGCACGCGAGCCUUCCCGACACCCUGGAACUGUGUGCCUUGCACCAAGUGGAAAAUAAACUCCAAGCAGCCAGUGGCCCUGGUGGUGUG